ACACUGUACGAGUUUGAUCAUGGCUCAGAUUGAACGCUGGCGGCAGGCUUAACACAUGCAAGUCGAGCGGAGACUUCGGUCUUAGCGGCGAACGGGUGAGGAAUGCCUGGGAAUCUGCCUGUUAGUGGGGGAUAACGAAUCGAAAGGUUUGCUAAUACCGCAUACGUCCUACGGGAGAAAGCAGGGGACCUUCGGGCCUUGCGCUAACAGAUGAGCCCAGGUCGGAUUAGCUAGUAGGUGGGGUAAAGGCUCACCUAGGCGACGAUCCGUAGCUGGUCUGAGAGGAUGAUCAGCCACACUGGGACUGAGACACGGCCCAGACUCCUACGGGAGGCAGCAGUGGGGAAUCUUAGACAAUGGGCGCAAGCCUGAUCUAGCCAUGCCGCGUGAUCGAUGAAGGCCUUAGGGUUGUAAAGAUCUUUCAGUGGGGAAGAUAAUGACUGUACCCACAGAAGAAGCCCCGGCUAACUCCGUG
rnacentral:rRNA from 1 species